CUUGAUCGAGCCCAGCCAGAGCGGGCGAUCGUCCGGGCGGUUGCGCCCGUAGGUCGCCAGCAGCGCCUGCGCCUC
rnacentral:antisense_RNA from 1 species